GGGGAAUAUUGGACAAUGGGGGCAACCCUGAUCCAGCGACGCCGCGUGUGUGAAGAAGGCCUGCGGGUUGUAAAGCACUUUUAGUGGGGAGGAAGGUCUGCGACCUAACACGUCGUGGAAUUGACUUAACCCACAGAAAAAGCACCGGCUAACUCUGUGCCAGCAGCCGCGGUAAUACAGAGGGUGCAAGCGUUAAUCGGAAUUACUGGGCGUAAAGCGUGCGUAGGCGGUUUCGUAAGUCGGGUGUGAAAGCCCCGGGCUCAACCUGGGAAUUGCAUUCGAGACUGCGAAGCUGGAGUGCGGAAGAGGGAAGUGGAAUUUCCGGUGUAGCGGUGAAAUGCGUAGAUAUCGGAAGGAACAUCAGUGGCGAAAGCGACUUCCUGGUCCAGCACUGACGCUCAGGCACGAAAGCGUGGGGAGCAAAC
rnacentral:rRNA from 1 species